CCCGCCGGCGACCGGCGCACGGGUGAGUAACACGUAUGAAACCUGCCCGCAGCAGGGGGAUAAGCGGAAGAAAUUCCGUCUAAUACCGCGUAACAACCCGAGGAGGCAUCUCCUCGGGUUUAAAGGAAGCGAUUCCGGCUACGGAUGGUCAUGCGUCGCAUUAGCUAGUUGGCGGGGUAACGGCCCACCAAGGCGACGAUGCGUAGGGGUUCUGAGAGGAAGGUCCCCCACACUGGUACUGAGACACGGACCAGACUCCUACGGGAGGCAGCAG
rnacentral:rRNA from 1 species